GGUUAUGGCUCAAUGGUAGAGCACUUGCCUGGCAUGUGUGAAGCACUGGGUUCAAUUCUCAGCACCA
rnacentral:tRNA from 1 species